GACGAACGCUGGCGGCGUGCUUAACACAUGCAAGUCGAACGGAAAGGCCCUGCUUGCAGGGUACUCGAGUGGCGAACGGGUGAGUAACACGUGGGUGAUCUGCCCUGCACUUCGGGAUAAGCCUGGGAAACUGGGUCUAAUACCGGCUAGGAGCCAUUUUUAGUGUGAUGGUUGGAAAGUUUUUUCGGUGUAGGAUGAGCUUGCUGCCUAUCAGCUUGUUGGAGGGGUAAUGGCCUACCAAGGCGGCGGCGGGUAGCCGGCCUGAGAGGGUGGACGGCCAUAUUGGGACUGAGAGACGGCACAGACUCCUACGGGAGGCAGCAGUGGGGAAUAUUGCACAAUGGGCGCAAGCCUGAUGCAGCGACGCCGCGUGGGGGAUGACGGCCUUCGGGUUGUAAACUCCUUUCGCUAGGGACGAAGCUUUUUGUGACGGUACCUAGAUAAGAAGCACCGGCUAACUACGUG
rnacentral:rRNA from 1 species